rnacentral:rRNA from 1 species
UUGUCCUUAUUGCCAGCACGUAAUGGUGGGAACUCUAAGGAGACUGCCGGUGACAAACCGGAGGAAGGUGGGGACGACGUCAAGUCAUCAUGGCCCUUAUGACCAGGGAUACACACGUGCUACAAUGGGACGUACAGAGGGUUGCUAAGCCGCGAGGUGGAGCCAAUCCCAGAAAACGUUUCGUAGUCCGGAUCGAAGUCUGCAACUCGACUUCGUGAAGUCGGAAUCGCUAGUAAUCGCGAAUCAGCAUGUCGCGGUGAAUACGUUC